ensembl:lncRNA
UUUGAACCUACAACCAGUUUCCAGAUCCUUUACAACCACAAACACCCACACAGCAGAUUUGAACAUCAGAGAAUCAUCAGAGAGCUGUGACGCUCGCCUACGAAAGAGCACAGCGUCGACUCAAAAACAGUAUUGGAAACCCACGGAACGGGGAUAAAGGACAGCGCCUUUUCUUCGCCUCAGCAGAGAGUCGGAUGAGGAAAUGGGGAACAGGUGGCCACUGGCUUGAGCUGUGGAUUAACAACAUGCCAACAGAAAAACAACACACACACAACCCCACGCACUCAUUAUUCAUCCCAGGAGGGCACACUGAAACUCAAAAAC